rnacentral:rRNA from 1 species
UACGUAGGGGGCAAGCGUUAUCCGGAUUUACUGGGUGUAAAGGGAGCGUAGACGGCAGUGCAAGUCUGGAGUGAAAGGCGGGGGCUCAACCCCCGGACUGCUCUGGAAACUGUACGGCUGGAGUGCAGGAGAGGUAAGUGGAAUUCCUAGUGUAGCGGUGAAAUGCGUAGAUAUAUGGAGGAACACCGGUGGCGAAAGCGGCUCUCUGGCCUGUAACUGACACUGAGGCUCGAAAGCGUGGGGAGCAAACAGG